rnacentral:lncRNA from 1 species
UCUCUAUUCCACUUCUCACCUGGAAGCUGAGAUUGACUCCUUUUAAAACAUAAACCAGAUCAUCCAUUCAUUUAAGCACUAUUUACUAAGCACCUUUCUUCAAGGAGUUUUCCUCCCAGAGGCAUAACAGAUAACACACAAAUAUACACUAUCACAUCAGGCUUAAAAUCCUUCAAUGAUUCGUUUGUUGCACUUUAGAUAAAAAUCUAAGCUCAGCGUGGCCUCCAAGACUCCACUGCCUUCAAACUAGUGGAUACCAUGGGGAAAUGCUCAACCCCCCUCCAAGACCAAGACACUCAUGACUUCCCCAUGUCCGGCUGCCAGAGUGUUGGUUACCCCAGCUCCCAGGUGAGUCCCUAGUCAGGAACUGUCCUGCUGAAGGGACAUCCUAGCUCCCUCCCUAGGACCAGCCUGCACCCACUGACUGAUCAACAUUAAGCUUCAAAGGCCUCGUCUCUUUGUCUCAUGGGAGGGAUUGAGACCUCUCUUGCACUGCACCAUAGAUCAACAUCUCCCUCUGCCCAGUUCUGCUUCCCUUAUCUGCACAAAAAUCUCAGAAGCGCCG